rnacentral:rRNA from 1 species
AUGGACACUUUAGUCCAGCAAAAAAUAUUCGUGAAUGUACUAACUUGCAGGCUUAUUGAGACGAACAAUGUCGAUCGACUAACUCACCAUUUAUUCCACUCGGCUGAUGGUGUGGCUACCGGAUCGCAGCCCAACUGUGGUUCACUCGAUCGAUUCAUCUUUUUACUCGACUGGCUAACGAACAGUCAUCAGUGCCAUCUGCCUCGUCGUCGUUUCUGGCUUCGUCUGCGAGGCCAUCGUCGAACCUCCACGCACGGCCACCAGCACCGUCUGGCUUGUCACAGUCUCCAGCCUCAUCUGCAAUGUCUACAACGAACCUGGCGGAACAAGUCCCCAGCCACUCGACAGAGGAUUAAGGACCUUAUCAUCUCUGAUCAUUUUACAAUUUAG